CACACACAACUAAAGCCAACAACAAGAGUAGGGUCGGAGUAGCCAUGGUGAGCCUCAUCUCGAUGACGGAGUCCCCUGCCAGGGCGUUCACCGGAGCAGGAGUCCGCUUUGGCAUCGUUGGCUGGUUUUGGAGGAGCGUCGCCCCGUCACGGGAAGAUGGAGUUCCCUGCGGGCGUCAUGGCCUCCAAGGGUGGCCGGCUGGAAGUGGUGGUGGCCUGGUGGGCACCGCGGCCGGCUGCUUCGGCAUCAUCGGUGCUAGAGGAGCGCCGCCUGCGGGCAUCGUGUCCUCCAAGGGUGGCCGGCUGGCGGUGGUGGUGGGCACGGCGGCCGCGGCGCCGGGAGAGAGCGACGACGGCGGCGGCCUGCCGUUCGCCGACGGCGACGUAAAAGUUUGCCUACAACUCCUUGAGUCAGACCACAAGUAGAGGCAGACGUGCUUCUCGAUCUAUUUGUUUUUUUGAUCGGGAGAAGCACGUAUUCGUGCGUCUUCUUGCAUUGUUCUAUCAUUUGAGUGGAUUUUCUUUGUUUUUCUGAUCGCGGGGUAGCAGUACUCUCGUGCUUGCGUCGAUCUAUCACGGCCGCCCGGUCGGCGUUCCGUAUGGAGACGGAACUCUUCAAACUCAAGCAGCGCCCAUUAGCAUCUGUGGGGAGCCCAUUAGCAUUUGUGGUCAAGCUUUUCCGGGAGAUAUUUGCGAAGCACUAUGAGUUGGAAAAGAUUGUUUCACAUCUAUUUGGUUGCAAAGGAUAUACCAUUUCAAGAAGACAGAGAAAAUCGAUGAGUAUGACAAGGCAAUGACUUCUAGGAAUGCCAGCAUUUUUGUAAGCCCUCUUUCUAAUAAAUUUGAGAAACUUGUUGCCUGAAGAGCUAUCAGCACUGCACCAGCAGCAAAAAUACCCAAAGCAUCCUGUAUAUAGUUGUUUUUCUGACCAUCCUAAAAUAAACGUUAUAGGGAUGUUGAAUAUUUAGCACAAAACCGUCAGGUUAUCUUUCUAAGUUUAGUGAAAAGUGUUGGGUCUCUCCAUGCAUGCUGACUUUUUGAUUUUGUGGAAAUUGCAGCACAAAGUGUUAGUUCUGGAGUUCUAGGGUUACACAAGGAUCGUGCUAUGUGCACUUAGAUCGGACAUGGGGAAACGUUUCUUGACAUGAAUACAAGUAGAUCAUAGGUUCUUUCCUACUUCUAGUACAAGAAUGAGUGAGAAGGGAAAGGCGCAGACCGGAUCCGCCGGCAGUGGGAGGCGGGACGGAGUUGCCGGCGCUCGGGGUCGAUAUGGCUCCGGCGGUGACGAACUCCGGGUCGGUGAAGAGUGCGUUCGGCGGUGGCGAGGGUCGACGUGGGUGUGGUGGCCCUCGGGUCGCCACCGACACUGGCCGGCGACGGGAGUGGUGGAGCUCAUCGGAGAAGGAGUGUCGGGGGAGCUUCCUGUCGCCACUGCGCACCUUCUCUAGAUCGGCUUAGGGUUAAGGCUGUAGGUGGGGACGACUGCGGCAGCAAACUUAGGUUAUCGAGCCGUGGGGUCCCACCCCCUCUAUAUAGCGCAACGCGAUGGGGCCUACCAACCACAGUAAGGUUGGGCGC